AGUGAACGCUGGCGGUAGGCCUAACACAUGCAAGUCGAACGGCAGCACAGUAAGAGCUUGCUCUUACGGGUGGCGAGUGGCGGACGGGUGAGGAAUACAUCGGAAUCUACUUUUUCGUGGGGGAUAACGUAGGGAAACUUACGCUAAUACCGCAUACGACCUACGGGUGAAAGCAGGGGAUCUUCGGACCUUGCGCGAUUGAAUGAGCCGAUGUCGGGUUAGCUAGUUGGCGGGGUAAAGGCCCACCAAGGCGACGAUCCGUAGCUGGUCUGAGAGGAUGAUCAGCCACACUGGAACUGAGACACGGUCCAGACUCCUACGGGAGGCAGCAGUGGGGAAUAUUGGACAAUGGGCGCAAGCCUGAUCCAGCCAUACCGCGUGGGUGAAGAAGGCCUUCGGGUUGUAAAGCCCUUUAGUUGGGAAAGAAAAGCAGCAGGUUAAUACCCCGCUGUUCUGACGGUACCCAAAGAAUAAGCACCGGCUAACUUCGU
rnacentral:rRNA from 1 species